UCCCUUUUGUAGAUGUGUCGCUUCCAUGU
rnacentral:piRNA from 1 species